AUAUACAUAGAGAGAUGGAAGAUUACCCGGAGUUCUUCGAACUCCGCCGUGGCCUUGGCGGCGAUGGUCAGAUGCUCGGAGCUUCACUGGGCAGUGUUGGCUCACCUCCACGCUUAGCAGCCUCCGAUGACCCAAACCCCUCCCCCUGUUGCAAUUCUCUCUCAGCUGUCGGCCAUCACCACCGGCACCGAAUCCACAUUAAUACCCUCUCUCUCUCCAUCACGACGAGAACCCCGACGUCGCUAGGAUCUGGGUUGGCCUCGUCGGAGGUUGUUCGCCCUGGGUCGCAAAAAAACGGUUCGGUUCGACGGUUUAGCAGUUU
rnacentral:lncRNA from 1 species